UACGAAGGGGGCUAGCGUUGCUCGGAAUGACUGGGCGUAAAGGGCGCGUAGGCGGAUGGCUUUGUCGGGCGUGAAAUUCCAGGGCUUAACCUUGGGGCUGCGUUCGAGACGGGUUGUCUUGAGUGGGGAAGAGGGUCGUGGAAUUCCCAGUGUAGAGGUGAAAUUCGUAGAUAUUGGGAAGAACACCGGUGGCGAAGGCGGCGACCUGGUCCUAUACUGACGCUGAGGCGCGAAAGCGUGGGGAGCAAACAGG
rnacentral:rRNA from 1 species